rnacentral:ncRNA from 1 species
AUAAAAAGUGCUAUAAAAAAGUAGCCAACAUAUUUUGCUUUCCGAGUAGUGCCUCUUUUGAGGCACUUUUUUUGUGUU